rnacentral:rRNA from 1 species
CCUACGGGCGGCAGCAGUGAGGAAUAUUGGUCAAUGGGCGGAAGCCUGAACCAGCCAAGUAGCGUGCAGGAUGACGGCCCUACGGGUUGUAAACUGCUUUUAUACGGGAAUACAGCCCCUUACGCGUAGGGCUUUGCAUGUACCGUAUGAAUAAGGAUCGGCUAAUUCCGUGCCAGCAGCCGCGGUAAUACGGAGGGUUCGGGCGUUAUCCGGAUUUAUUGGGUUGAAAGGGAGCGUAGGCCGCAUGUCAAGCGUGCUGUGAAAUGUCCGGGCUCAACCCCGGCCUUGCAGCGAGAACUGGCGGGCUUGAGACCGCGGAAAGCAGGCGGAAUUCGUCGUGUAGCGGUGAAAUGCUUAGAUAUGACGAAGAACCCCGAUUGCGAAGGCAGCUUGCUGCAGCGGAACUGACGCUGAUGCUCGAAAGCGCGGGUAUCGAACAGGAUUAGAUACCCUUGUAGUC